UUUUGCGACUUGCCACCAUCCAUCUUCAAAUGCCUCACAUGUGCCGGCCUGCCACAUGUGGGAAUUUUGUGCUCUCAUAGUCUAAAAGAGGAGAGCCGCGCCACUCAGUAGCCAAAGUGAAACUGUUGCCACAACUUUCAUCAUGAAUCUUGGUAAUAGGACUUAAGUAGAAUGUUCGUGUUGCUGACUGCAAUUAAUUGGGAUACAACAUAGAAGAUGAUGGUGGUGAUGAUAAUACAAUCACAGAUCUGAUUUUGGAAAUACAGUGCGGAGAGGAGAGGUCGCUGGUGCCGGCCUGACUGCAGAUCGAACGGAUGAGAUCUUCCCUUUUGAAAUGACAUACACCGUGCAGAAAUCUGGUGCCAUUUUGGAAAUGCUAGUAGGAACAUCUGUGGUUCUGAACCUUCUGUGAUUACAUACUUUCUUGUUAAGAUAAAUGCAAUAAGCAUUUACUUGGCCCUAAAUAGAGGUUUGCCAGCCCCACAUCAGGCCGGUCCACUUAUCAGAA